rnacentral:rRNA from 1 species
CAGCAGCCACGGUAAUACAGAGGGUGCAAGCGUUAAUCGGAAUUACUGGGCGUAAAGCGCGCGUAGGUGGUUUGUUAAGUUGGAUGUGAAAUCCCCGGGCUCAACCUGGGAACUGCAUCCAAAACUGGCAAGCUAGAGUAUGGUAGAGGGUGGUGGAAUUUCCUGUGUAGCGGUGAAAUGCGUAGAUAUAGGAAGGAACACCAGUGGCGAAGGCGACCACCUGGACUGAUACUGACACUGAGGUGCGAAAGCGUUGGGAGCAAACAGGAUUAGAUACCCCUGUAGUCCCUGUCUCUUAUAC